rnacentral:rRNA from 1 species
UCGGCUUGCCGGCAGGCUUACACAUGCAAGUCGAACGAUGAAGUCUAGCUUGCUAGACGGAUUAGUGGCGAACGGGUGAGUAAUGCUUAGGAAUCUGCCUAUUAGUGGGGGAUAACGUAGGGAAACUUACGCUAAUACCGCAUACGACCUAUGGGUGAAAGGGGGCGUUUAGCUCUCGCUAAUAGAUGAGCCUAAGUCGGAUUAGCUGGUUGGUGGGGUAAAGGCCUACCAAGGCGACGAUCUGUAGCUGGUCUGAGAGGAUGAUCAGCCACACUGGGACUGAGACACGGCCCAGACUCCUACGGGAGGCAGCAGUGGGGAAUAUUGGACAAUGGGCGAAAGCCUGAUCCAGCCAUGCCGCGUGUGUGAAGAAGGCCUUUUGGUUGUAAAGCACUUUAAGUGGGGAGGAAAAGCUUGUGGUUAAUACCCAUAAGCCCUGACGUUACCCACAGAAUAAGCACCGGCUAACUCUGUGCCAGCAGCCGCGGUAAUACAGAGGGUGCAAGCGUUAAUCGGAAUUACUGGGCGUAAAGCGCGCGUAGGUGGUUAUUUAAGUCAGAUGUGAAAGCCCCGGGCUUAACCUGGGAACUGCAUCUGAUACUGGAUAACUAGAGUAGGUGAGAGGGGAGUAGAAUUCCAGGUGUAGCGGUGAAAUGCGUAGAGAUCUGGAGGAAUACCGAUGGCGAAGGCAGCUCCCUGGCAUCAUACUGACACUGAGGUGCGAAAGCGUGGGUAGCAAACAGGAUUAGAUACCCUAGUUAGUCC